UUUUUCUGCUUGCUUUGGUAUCAUUUUUUGUUUCAUUUAAAAAUAAGUGUAGAUGUAUGUCACCUCUUACAUCAGUAAAGGCAAGGUAUGAGACGUAAGUCUGGCAUUUGGUGCAGAAACUGAUGAGGAGUUGCCAAAGGAAAUCAUUCUCCUGUAUCUGACUGGCUUAAGAAGAUUUUGUCUGGCAGGCCAAGCUUUGCCCAGGAUUAUUAAUCUUCUGGAGAAGUCUUUCCGCUAUAGCUUCACUUUGAUUUUCAAGGUGAUAGUUCUCAAACUCUGUGGUUCCCUCUUCUCUAUGUUUCUGUUGCUGUUCCCUGGUGACAUCAGAGUAGUUCUCCUCACCUCUGUCAUCAUUCCUACCAGCAACUUCUAUUUUGUGUCUUCUCAGUCAGAGAUGUGCUGAGUGUCCUCUCUGCCCUGGCUUUGUCCUUUCUUCAUCUGCUACAAUAAAACUAUCAUGCCUGUGUUUGCUCAAAGCAUUACUGAGUUCUGUUUUCCUUUUGAAUCACAUGGUGACAUAAAAUUUAUAUUCUGGCUGCCGAAGCACUGCUGUGGCUUUCCAUUGCUGAAGCCAUGUGUGUGAGAUGUUUGAGUUUCUGCUGAAGUAAUCUGUGCCUCUGAAACAUCACCUAUUGCUUGCACUUGUCCUCAUCUUAUCAAGUCAUUAGAUGCCUCUGGUACUUUUCUUACUGUUAAGGCAUAAAACUAUUGUUUUUGUGCCCUUUGUGAAAGAGUUUGAUAAAAUUUCCUGGUCUGUGGAAUGAAAAGAGACUUUACCUUUAGGCAGGAGUCUUUUAAAGCUUUGGGCUAAAUCUUUUUUUUACUUGUCUUCCAGGUAAAUCCAAUAUAAGACAUCACAGAAGUCUCUUGGUAGAGUGGCAUAGUGACUCAAGACUGGAAUAUAAUUCCUGGUUUAUAUACCCUUUUCUCAUUGUGGAAUUACCUUCAGCUUGUUGAGUGGUCAAAAACAUAAAGUUGUCAGAAAAGAGCAAGAUGGAGAGCUAGACAAUUUUCUUGAAGACAAACAAGCUGUGUAAGUCAUCUGAUUACAGCAAUUCAGAGAGAGGGGAAUCUCCACCCAGGUGGCAUGUGAGUAAAGUGUGUGGACUGGUCCAGAGGGGUUCAGUUGAAGUAUAGUGGUCCUUUGGAAAACAACCUUUUUUAUUACAGUAGAACACUGCUAUCACCCCUUUUCACGUUAAUGUGGUUUUCAGAAUUUGACAGAUAAGAUGGUGAGAGAGCUGACAGCAGAGCUGUGGAGCUUCUUGCCCUGCAGGGAAAGCUGGUGAUGUUGGAAGAGGUGAUGCUGGGAAGAACCUACUGCUGUUGUUUUGCCCUUGGCUGUAGCAGUUGUGAAACAACCACAGUGACAAAGUGUGGCUUGCAUGGGUGGAGUGUGAAUUUGAAUGUAUGAAUCAAAUUACCAGGACUGAAACACAGGUGGCUUUCACCAGAGGAACAAAUGCAGAGGAUCCAUCAAGGAGUCAGUACUGCUAUGUGCAGUAUAUGAGCCAUAUCCUGCAACUGUUAUCUGCUCCUGUUCAUUAAAAGCUCCAUGUAGCAGCUGUGAUUACAUUAAUAUAAGAAUUAGUAAAUUGCAGACAAUCUGCUAUCCGUGCAUCCAGUCUCUCCUUGAUUUCUCUAGUCUCAGCUGGAAGUGUAUGUUAUUGAAAGGCAGAAUGCCUUUCAAGCAGAAGAAUGCUAAUGUAGGAAGACAUGCUUAAGAUCUUGGAAUAAGGAGGACACCUUCAGGAAGAGAGAAAUUUGGUUGUUGUCAAAACCAGACUUAAGAACAGAAAAACAACAUCAUUAUUCUCCAGGAGUUGGUAUGCUAGACUAAUUAAACUGAAGGCACUGAAAAA